rnacentral:lncRNA from 1 species
UAGAGUGUGCUGUUUCCUAUCAAUGUAAACCACCCUUCUGACAGCUUUUAAGGGCAAUGACAAAUCUUUCUUCACCAACUUUAUUUCCCUGGAGCCAGUAACCUUGACCUCCUCAGGAAUGGUCAUCCUCAAGACUGUAGGCAGGUCAAUUUGCUUCAGGCAGAAAAAAAUUAUAAUUCACUAUUCUGUGCAAAACUAGAAAAAAAAAUAUUGGACUUUGAAGCUGUAGAUCACAUGAUCUUCUCAUCAUCCAUUUUACUUUUUAAAGUACACUUUGGACAUUUCACAGGUACAUAAACCAAGCUCAGAAGUCUCUUUGUCACAGUUUUCUUAGUACAAAUGCCACAUGUUUGCCAAAAAAAGGAAAUGGAAUGGAAAACUAGUGUGGUACACACCUGGCCCAGGGCAGCUACUUCUAACUUAAUUUUGAAAGCAUUUCAUUAUAACAUCAGCUAGUUGGGGGCACAUUCUUGAUGCACUUAAACCUUCUAUCUACUCCUGUUUCAUCAAAAUAUCCUUAAGUGGUGGAGGUCAUUUACUAGGAUCAUUUCCAGGAAGGAGAAACAGGGCAUGUCACUUAUUCCCUCAGUUUCUGAAAAUAUCACCAUCUGUUGAGUUUAGCUUUGGAGUCCACAGGAAAAUAUAUGCCACUGUGAACUUGGUGCCUUUUCUGUAAAGGAAGCUAAAAAGAGAAAGCAUGGGGCUAACAGAAGAACAGCAGCUAAACCACAUGGAAAGACAGGGUAUUCAUUUAGGCAGCCACCAUUUGCUGAACAUCUACUUUGUGCAUGGCACUCGGCUAGACUUUGAAAGAAAUAGAAUACAGUCUGCUUUCCAGAUGUUACAGACCAAUAGAAGACAGUCUUGGGACGUGGGGGGGAGAUGCAGGUGAGAAUUUCUGUAGUGGGAGAUGGUCUGUGGCACUCAGCAGAGAGACCACCUAACACUAAAAAUAGGAAAGAGGCUGCCAAUCAUUGAGAGCCUGCCACUGACUAGAUGUGUCAUCUUGAGCCAGUGACUUAGCUAUUCUGAGCCUCAGUUUCCUCAACUGACAACUGGGAUAACAAUACAGUAUCUGCUUGUUGAACUUGUUUUUAAAAUCAGGACAAGGGCAUGAAAUUCCAUUUAAACAGGAGAAAUAAAUACUGAAGAUCUAUUGGACAGCACUGGAGUUAACAGUAGUGUUCAGUGUAAUGGAAAUUUGAAGAGCACGGAGUUUAAUGUUCUUAUCACACACGAAGGUUUAAGUCUGUGAGGUGAUGGAUAUGUUUGUUAGUUUGGUUCAGUCAUUCCAUAAUGUAUAUGUAUAUCAACAUAUCACAUUGUACCCCAUAAUUACGUACAAUUAAAACAAAUAAAUCAAGUCAGGAUGAUGUAGCUGAGGCAUCUAGCACAGAGCCUGACUCUCAAGGACAGCCAUGGGGAUGAGUGACAUUAUCCAUCACAAGCCCCAAAUGUUGCCUGGGGCUCAUGGACAUUCGAACUCUAGAAAUGACCUUGAUUAGUCCUUGUUUACAGAUGAGGACCACUAAGGUUUGUAUCUUAAAUGUCUUGCAAAAGGCCCAUGUGCCGAUGGCUUAGUCCCUGGCUUGCAGCUGUUGAGAGAUGGUGGAGCUAGUGAGAGGGCUUAGGUCAUCAGCACAUGUCCUUGAAGGGGACUAUGGGACUCCAGCCCUUCCUCUUCCUCUCUGUUUCCUGGGUGCCACAAAGUGACCAGCUCUGCCCCACCAUGGUUUCCCACCAGGACAUGCUGCCUGAGCCCAGGCCCAAAAGCAUCAGGGCCGAUCAUGCACACAUUGAAACCUCUGAAGCCAUGCACCAAAGCAAACCUUUUCUCUUUUUAAGUUGGUUGUCUCAACUAUUUUGUUACAGAAAUAGAAAGCUGACUCACACAAGGACACUGAGACUCAAAACAUGCACUCAGUGCCACGUGGGUAGUAAAUCUCUUGGGUAAACAGCCCAGUGUUCUUUGCAUGGCACAGAUGUUUUCUCCUCAGCUGCUGUAGAAACCCAGGUUUCCACAGAGUCCUCAGUGGUCCCCCCACAACAAGGGGGCAAGAGGCAGAGGGGCCAAG